UGGGGAAUCUUGGACAAUGGGGGCAACCCUGAUCCAGCCAUGCCGCGUGAGUGAUGAAGGCCUUAGGGUCGUAAAGCUCUUUCAGCUGGGAAGAUAAUGACGGUACCAGCAGAAGAAGCCCCGGCUAACUCCGUGCCAGCAGCCGCGGUAAUACGGAGGGGGCUAGCGUUGUUCGGAAUUACUGGGCGUAAAGCGCGCGUAGGCGGGCUGUUAAGUCGGGGGUGAAAUCCCGGGGCUCAACCCCGGAACUGCCUCCGAUACUGGCAGCCUAGAGAUCGAGAGAGGCGAGUGGAAUACCGAGUGUAGAGGUGAAAUUCGUAGAUAUUCGGUGGAACACCAGUGGCGAAGGCGGCUCGCUGGCUCGAUACUGACGCUGAGGUGCGAAAGCGUGGGGAGCAAACAGG
rnacentral:rRNA from 1 species